rnacentral:rRNA from 1 species
CGCGUAGGUGGUUUGAUAAGUGGGAUGUGAAAGCCCCGGGCUCAACCUGGGAACUGCAUUCCAAACUGUCAGGCUAGAGUAUGGUAGAGGGAGGUAGAAUUUCCUGUGUAGCGGUGAAAUGCGUAGAUAUAGGAAGGAAUACCGGUGGCGAAGGCGGCCUCCUGGACCAAUACUGACGCUGAGGUGCGAAAGCGUGGGGAGCAAACA